ACCUAACUGUGUCUAAAGCACUGCUGGCCGCCCAGUCGCCAGGGAGAGUGAAUACAGCUAGGGACGUGAAAGAACGGGGAAGAUAACUGAAGGGUGGUUUGAGAAACCCACCAGGCCAACUGGGAAUUAGAAUUGAUUCAAAACUCUGUUGAUCGCCUGACCUCCAUAAGCUCCUACUCUGCUGCAGUUAGUUGAGUGCUGCCACUUAAAUCCUGCAGUCCCGAGAUCCGGUUAUAACCAAUGCAUUUAGAUUUUUCAUUUCGGUGGCAACAAUCUUCAUCGUAAGUUCUGUCCUACAGAGAAGUGUGGUGAUCAAGCUCUUCGGAGAUACUGGGACUCCUCUCACAAAUGUAUGUCUCACAGUUAUGAUGAAUGGUGUAUCUCCUGGAUCUUCCUCAAUUGAAUGCUUCUUCUUAGAGACAAGGCCUCACUCCAUUGCCCCUAGGCCAGGCCUGGUGAGUGACAGCAGCCCUGGUGCCCCAGCCUGCUAGGGCAACGUGUCACCCAGAGGCUUCGAGGCCCUCCUCACCAUGGUACCCACCUCCUCGAAGCUGCCU
rnacentral:lncRNA from 1 species